UACGUGGGGGGCGAGCGUUGUCCGAAGUUACUGGGCGUAAAGCGCGCGUAGGCGGGUCGUUAAGUGGGAAGUGAAAGGCUGGGGCUCAACCCCAUGCAGUGCUUCUCAUACUGGCGGUCUUGAGUGAGGUAGGGAGAAGUGGAAUGGCUGGUGUAGCGGUGAAAUGCGCAGAUAUCAGGAGGAACACCGGUGGCGAAGGCGGGUCUCUGGGCCGAUACUGACGCUGAGGAACGAAAGCUAGGGGAGCAAACAGG
rnacentral:rRNA from 1 species